rnacentral:rRNA from 1 species
GACGAACGCUGGCGGCGUGGAUUAGGCAUGCAAGUCGAACGGUAUCAUCCUUUCGGGGGUGAGAGAGUGGCGAACUGGUGAGUAACACGUAGGUUAUCUACCCUCAAGACGGGGACAACCCAGGGAAACUUGGGCUAAUACCGGACGUGAGCAACUUUUAGUUGUUUGAAAGGUGGCGUAAGCUGUCGCUUGGGGAUGAGCCUGCGUCCUAUUAGUUAGUUGGUGAGGUAACGGCUCACCUAGGCAAUGAUAGGUAGGCGGCCUUAACGGGUGGUCGCCCACACUGGGAUUGAGAUACGGCCCAGACUCCUACGGGAGGCAGCAGUCGAGAAUAGUCUACAAUGGUCGGAAGACUGAUAGUGCGACGCCGCGUGAACGAUGAAUCCCUUCGGGGUGUAAAGUUCUUUUCUAUACGAGCAGUGCUAUAUAUAUGGAUAGUAUAUAUAGAGGGAUAGUAGUAUAGGAAUAAGCAACGGCUAACUCCGUGCCAGCAGCCGCGGUAAUAUCACG